UACGGAGGAUGCGAGCGUUAUCCGGAUUUAUUGGGUUUAAAGGGUGCGUAGGCGGCACGCCAAGUCAGCGGUGAAAUUUCCGGGCUCAACCCGGAAUGUGCCGUUGAAACUGGCGAGCUAGAGUGCACAAGAGGCAGGCGGAAUGCGUGGUGUAGCGGUGAAAUGCAUAGAUAUCACUUGGAACCCCGAUAGCGAAGGCAGCUUCCCAGGCUCGGUCUGACGCUCAUGCACGAAAGCGUGGGGAGCAAACAGG
rnacentral:rRNA from 1 species